ensembl:lncRNA
GAUUUACAGCAAUCAGAAGUACAGGGUUCUUUGAAUGCAUCGUAGUCCUUGUCUGAUAGUUUAAUUUCCGGGCUUGCCCUGAAGGCACCAUCUGCAGCUCCGUGCGCGUGAAGGUGUGGUGUAGAGGAAAAAGGACGGCAAGGAAAAACUCCAUGCUGCCGCGGAGCACGGUUUUUUCCAGUUGAAAGAGAGGAAAGAGGUUUAAUUAACAUUUGUGAGAGAGCUGUCGUUAGCGGUGAACCACAGACGGGUACCUACCUGAAAGGAGUCGGAGUAUUUCUUUGAACUUUUUGAACUAUUCUGACUGUUUUUUUUUUUUGAGGUACAGUUCCAUGGGUGCCAAGUGAGGAGCUGGUAUCGUGGGUCUAAGACACUGUUGCUGCUGUGGAGGCCUUCUCUGUGUCAGGACGCCGACACGUUGAUGCCUGCCGUACCAGGAGGGCGGUUGCUGGUUGUGGAAUUUGGAGCUGCGGAGAUUUGAGCUGUGCUCCAAAAGUGCAUGUUGAAGGUUAUCACCACAGUUCCACUGCUGUCCACAUUCAUGAGCAGUCUUGACCAGUACUCUGACCAGUUGAUGAAGAUUCUACGAAAAAAAGGAGGGGAAACAGCGCGGCGGAUGACAGCAGCGUUGUCUGCAAUUUCACAGGAUUUCAACGUGAUGGAAGCUGAAGAGCUUGAGAGGAUGGAUUUGGCGUGUUUAUAAAAUAAUCCAUGAAGGAGCACAGCCUGAUUACUCCCUUGAAGAUGUUGGCAUCAUUAUCGAGAGAUGCACAGUCUUGCAGGAUCUUCACGAUGUGACGAGCGGGUGUGCACUUUUGUUUGGGCUAAUUUACUGCCUCAAUCUGAGUUACCCAAAGCCACUUCGCUACACAUUUGAGUUCUUCCAGAAGGUGCUCA